GUACCUGCUGAGUUUUUUUAUAUGUUGAUAAAUCUCUCCUUUUCAGCUUAAUAUCUGAAACGCGACUCACCGAGUCGCUUGUAUAUUAAACUGAUUUUUGAACUUAGGCCAUGGAAUAGGGGCUUGCUCCGUCCUGGCCGCGGGUUAGCCCGGUAUUGUAGUACCUCCGGGAUCGGCCCACCCCUC
rnacentral:snRNA from 1 species